rnacentral:rRNA from 1 species
GAUGAACGCUGGCGGCGUGCCUAAUACAUGCAAGUCGAGCGAACAGACGAGGAGCUUGCUCCUCUGACGUUAGCGGCGGACGGGUGAGUAACACGUGGAUAACCUACCUAUAAGACUGGGAUAACUUCGGGAAACCGGAGCUAAUACCGGAUAAUAUAUUGAACCGCAUGGUUCAAUAGUGAAAGACGGUUUUGCUGUCACUUAUAGAUGGAUCCGCGCCGCAUUAGCUAGUUGGUAAGGUAACGGCUUACCAAGGCAACGAUGCGUAGCCGACCUGAGAGGGUGAUCGGCCACACUGGAACUGAGACACGGUCCAGACUCCUAAGGGAGGCAGCAGUAGGGAAUCUUCCGCAAUGGGCGAAAGCCUGACGGAGCAACGCCGCGUGAGUGAUGAAGGUCUUAGGAUCGUAAAACUCUGUUAUUAGGGAAGAACAAAUGUGUAAGUAACUAUGCACGUCUUGACGGUACCUAAUCAGAAAGCCACGGCUAACUACGUG